rnacentral:rRNA from 1 species
UGGUAGUGUAUUGACUACCAUGGCAGUCACGGGUAACGGAGAAUUAGGGUUCGAUUCCGGAGAGGGAGCCUGAGAAACGGCUACCACAUCUACGGAAGGCAGCAGGCGCGCAAAUUGCCCAAUCCCGACACGGGGAGGCAGUGACAAGAAAUAAUAACUCUAGGUUUUCUUAGAAGUGUAAUGAGGAUAAUUUACAACCCUUACUGAAUGCAAUUGGAGGGCAAGUCUGGUGCCAGCAGCCGCGGUAAUUCCAGCUCCAAUAGCGUAUAUUAAAGUUGUUGCAGUUAAAAAGCUCGUAGUUGAAACUCUGAUUGUUCAGGUUCUCAGCCAUUAGGCGAGGGCUCUGGCAGUCAUCCGCUUGCAAACAUAUGUUCGACCUUAACCAGUUGGCUAUGUGAGUAAGCAUUUUACCUUGAGAAAAACAGAGUGUUCCAGGCAGGUUUGUCCGGAAUGCAUUAGCAUGGAAUAAUAGAACAUGACUGAAGUCUAUUUAUUGGUUAAAGGCUUUAGUAAUGAUUAAUAGGAACAGUCGGGGGCAUUCGUACUCAGCAGUCAGAGGUGAGAUUCUAAGAUUUGCUGAAGACGAACUAAUGCGAAAGCAUUUGCCAAGGAUGUUUUCAUUAAUCAAGAACGAAAGUUAGGGGAUCAAAGACAAUCAGA